rnacentral:tRNA from 1 species
GCUGUUGUAGUUUAAUGGUAGAACCCCUCAUGAAUAAUGGGUAGGUGGAGGUUCGAAUCCUUCCAACAGUA